ACAGGAAUGAUCUGAAUACAAGUCCAGAGAUGUUGAAACCAUCUACUUCCACAGUUUCCUCGGAGGAUGUUUCACACAAUUCGAGAGGAAAGAGUUCAGAUUCUUGUACUAACAUGGAAGGGACAGCGGGUUGGAGGCUUUCAAAUAGCCCUUGGAACUUGCAAGUAAUUGCACGGUCUCCUGGAUCACUUACGCGUUAUAUGCCAGAUGACAUUCCGGGGGUUACUUCUCCAAUGGUUUACAUUGGCAUGUUAUUCAGUUGGUUUGCUUGGCAUGU
rnacentral:misc_RNA from 1 species